rnacentral:rRNA from 1 species
CAGCAGCCACGGUAACACGUAGGCGGCAAGCGUUGUCCGGAAUUAUUGGGCGUAAAGGGCUCGCAGGCGGUUUCUUAAGUCUGAUGUGAAAGCCCCCGGCUCAACCGGGGAGGGUCAUUGGAAACUGGGAAACUUGAGUGCAGAAGAGGAGAGUGGAAUUCCACGUGUAGCGGUGAAAUGCGUAGAGAUGUGGAGGAACACCAGUGGCGAAGGCGACUCUCUGGUCUGUAACUGACGCUGAGGAGCGAAAGCGUGGGGAGCGAACAGGAUUAGAUACCCCUGUAGUCCCUGUCUCUUAUAC